AAAGCCACUAAGUUUAUUAUAUGUUGCCCGUACCGUAAACCGACACAGGUGGGUGGGAUGAGUAUUCUAAGGCGCGUGGAAGAACCCUCUUUAAGGAACUCUGCAAAAUAGCACCGUAUCUUCGGUAUAAGGUGUGCCUACUUUGGUAUAUGGACUUGCUCCAAAAAGCUAGAGAGGUUGCAACAAAGAGUCCCUCCCGACUGUUUACCAAAAACACAGCACUUUGCUAACACGUAAGUGGAUGUAUAAGGUGUGACGCCUGCCCGGUGCUCGAAGGUUAACUGAUGAUGUCAGCGCAAGCGAAGCAUUUGAUUGAAGCCCGAGUAAACGGCGGCCGUAACAAUAACGGUCCUAAGGUAGCGAAAUUCCUUGUCAGUUAAAUACUGACCUGCAUGAAUGGCGUAACGAGAUGGGAGCUGUCUCAAAGAGGGAUCCAGUGAAAUUGUAGUGGAGGUGAAAAUUCCUCCUACCCGCGGAAAGACGGAAAGACCCCGUGCACCUUUACUACAGCUUGACACUGUAGCUUGGAUAUUCAUGUGCAGGAUAGGUGGGAGGCUAUGAUGACUAGACGCAAGUAGAGUCGGAGCCAUCCUUGAGAUACCACCCUUGAAUAUUUGAGUUACUAACUGCGAUGAGUUAUCUUCAUUCAGGACAAUGUCUGGUGGGUAGUUUGACUGGGGCGGUCGCCUCCUAAAUAGUAACGGAGGCUUACAAAGGUUAGUUCAAAGCGGUUGGAAAUCGCUUGUUGAGUAUAAUGGCAUAAACUAGCUUGACUGUGAGACCUACAAGUCGAACAGAGACGAAAGUCGGUCAUAGUGAUCCGGUGGUUCUGCGUGGAAGGGCCAUCGCUCAAAGGAUAAAAGGUACGCCGGGGAUAACAGGCUGAUCUCCCCCAAGAGCUCACAUCGACGGGGAGGUUUGGCACCUCGAUGUCGGCUCAUCGCAUCCUGGGGCUGUAGUCGGUCCCAAGGGUAUGGUUGUUCGCCAUUUAAAGCGGUACGCGAGCUGGGUUCAGAACGUCGUGAGACAGUUCGGUCCCUAUCUUCCGUGGGCGUAGGAAAGUUGAAGAGAUUUGUCCCAAGUACGAGAGGACCGGGAUGAACCAACCACUGGUGUACCAAUUGUUCUGCCAAGAGCAUCGUUGGGUAGCCACGUUGGGAUGUGAUAAGAGCUGAAAGCAUCUAAGCUCGAAGCCAACUCUAAG
rnacentral:rRNA from 1 species